AAAUCUGGCCCUUUCGGGUCCGAGUUGUAAUUUGUAGAGGAUGCUUUUGGCAAGGCGCCGCCCGAGUUCCCUGGAACGGGACGCCACAGAGGGUGAGAGCCCCGUCUGGCUGGCCGCCGAGCCUCUGUAAAGCUCCUUCGACGAGUCGAGUAGUUUGGGAAUGCUGCUCAAAAUGGGAGGUAUAUGUCUUCUAAAGCUAAAUAUUGGCCAGAGACCGAUAGCGCACAAGUAGAGUGAUCGAAAGAUGAAAAGCACCUUGAAAAGAGGGUUAAAUAGUACGUGAAAUUGUUGAAAGGGAAGCGCUUGUGACCAGACUUGGGCGCGGCGGAUCAUCCGGGGUUCUCCCCGGUGCACUUCGCCGCGUCCAGGCCAGCAUCAGUUCGCCGCGGGGGAAAAAGGCUUCGGGAACGUGGCUCCCCUGGGAGUGUUAUAGCCCGUUGCAUAAUACCCUGCGGUGGACUGAGGACCGCGCAUCUGCAAGGAUGCUGGCGUAAUGGUCACCAGCGACCCGUCUUGAAACACGGACCAAGGA
rnacentral:rRNA from 1 species